GGCGGCGUAGCGCAGCUAGUUAGUGCGCCUGCCUCUAACGCAGAGGUAAUGAGUUCAAGGCUCGCCGUUGCUA
rnacentral:tRNA from 1 species